CAAGUGAUUCUCCUGCCUUAGCCUCCUGAGUAGCUAGGAUUACAGAUUUAUAGGAGCAUUGUGACUGGACCAAGGACAAAGAAGUUCCCAACCUCCUCAGACCCUCGCUGCUGCCCAGAUGUCUGCCAUGGGGUGGCCAUCAUCGAAUCCACUGAGGGCGCAAAUAGAACAAAAAGGUGAAGAAAAGGUGAAUUCUCUCCUUUCUUGAGCUGGGACAUCCAACUUCUCAGACAUCAGAGCUCCUGGAGGCCUUCAGACUCCGAGACAUUACACCAUUGGCUCACCUGGUCCUCAGGUCUUUGGACUUGGAAUGAAUUACACCAUUGGCUUUCCAGGUCUUCCAGCUUGCAGAUGGCAGAUUGUGGGACUUUUCAGCCUCCAUAACUUUGUCAUCCAAUUCCCAUAAUAAAU
rnacentral:lncRNA from 1 species